UUGAUUCAUUUUGUUCGUUGCGUUUCGUAAUAUUGCGUUGGCUUCGUUUUGUAGAAUCUUGAAUUGGCCAAUUAUUCUUUUCACCAGGACUACCGAAACAAAAAGAAGUUAGCUUUUGUGCGCUUUUGUCUAUUGUGCGCUGUUAUGUUGCGUAUCCAAGUAUUUUCCUUGCCGAGAUCCAGGCGACAGCGAAAAGGUGAACAGCUAUGAGAUCGUCACAAAUGUUAGAAUGCUCGAAACAAGAGAAGAAAUUGAUGGCCCUGCACGGAAUCGAGGAGCACGAGGAGAUUUAGCAGGAAAAUCUAAGAUACAACGAUAGGUGAAUUUUAUCUCGGUGCGCAUCAUAUGUACGCGAUCUAUUACAAUCUGGAUUCCACGGAUGCUUAUGAUGGUGUCAAGUGCAGUAUAGCUUAUUGUUUCUCAAUGUUGUCACGAAUUGCAAUAUCCUAAAAAAUAUUCAGGCAAAUUUGGUUGAUUGUAUACCAGAUUGUACACCCGAUUAUAUACCAGUUGUAGAGAGAGGCCCCUGUUGCCUCUUCAGCUACAGGCAAAGAAACAAAAGUGUCCAUCGUGUUUCAAGUGUUUAAGUCUACAGCGACUUUAUGGUAAUCGCGACUUCUGGAGCGGUAGUGGUUAUUGAUGGGAACGUGAUAGCCAUUAACCUUGACCAGGAAGCUAAAGUACAAAUGUCGCCUUUGUUACCCUUCGCAUUAGAGUCACUAUAAUAAGAGUUGAGACAUCAGCGAUUCGAUCAGCGCCAUGUCCGGGACCGUGUUAGUGAAAACGUGAGUUUGUGUAAUGUACUCUACGUAUAAGGUGUGUAAACGACGUCCCAGCAAUCGCGCUUCCGAUCUGACUCUUAUUAUAGUGAUUCUAAUUUCACAAUGAUCCACAAGAAUCCGAAUAUACGCGACUGUGGAUUUGCCCGAUCUCGGCAUCGAUUGCAGGAGCGUUUUUCGUAUUUCUUAUGGUUUUCUCAUUGGUGUAGUCUUAUUUAAUUUUUGUCGUAAAUUUUCUUGUAGAGGCCAGAAAGAAUCAAAGUAGAUUGGAGAGUGUUUCUGAUUGAUUCUGCCAUUUAUAAUGCAC